rnacentral:rRNA from 1 species
GACGAACGCUGGCGGCGUGCUUAACACAUGCAAGUCGUACGGUAAGGCCCUUUCGGGGGUACACGAGUGGCGAACGGGUGAGUAACACGUGAGUAACCUGCCCACAACUUUGGGAUAACGCUAGGAAACUGGUGCUAAUACUGGAUAUAUGCUCCUGCUGCAUGGUGGGGGUUGGAAAGCUCCGGCGGUUGUGGAUGGACUCGCGGCCUAUCAGCUUGUUGGUGGGUUAGUGGCCUACCAAGGCGGCGACGGGUAGCCGGCCUGCGAGGGUGACCGGCCACAUUGGGACUGAGAUACGGCCCAGACUCCUACGGGAGGCAGCAGUGGGGAAUAUUGCACAAGGGGCGCAAGCCUGAUGCAGCAACGCCGCGGGCGGGAUGACGGCCUUCGGGUUGUAAACCGGUUUCAGCAGGGACGAAGCUUUUUGUGACGGUACCUGCAGAAGAAGCACCGGCUAACUACGUG